CGGGGGCACCAAGGCUCAGCUCAGCAUUUCCUGGAGGACCCCAGACAGAGACCCCAGAGCCUCCUGCUGCCUGGCAGCUCCCUGGAAGCCACAGUGCUGAGCGCCCGGCGUGGACCCCCACAGCCUGGGGCCGGGCUCUGCCUCGGUCCACACCGUGCCUGAGCUGAACGCGGGCCAGAGACGGUCCAGCGUCACGCUUCCCAGCAGCGUCCGGUCUGCAGGUGGCCCUGGGGAAACUUUCAUGGGCCAUGUUCCUCUCUGGCCACAGCAGAGAUGCCACGCCCCCGCAACAGGACACACAGAACUUGAAUUCAGGCAGAUUCCCAGUUACCAGGUCACAGAGAAGGGCACGGCAGUAAUCCUGAGGUGCGACCCCAUCUCUGGUCACUUACUCCUACAUUGCUACAGACAGAUCCUGGGGCAGAAAGUGGAGUUUCUCAUUUUAUUCGACAAGGUUACUCUCUUGGAGAAGUCUCAAACGUUCAAGGAUCGAUUCUCAGCUGGAAGACCUGAUGGAUCCUUCUGGACUCUACGGAUCCAGCCCAGAGAGCUGGGAGACUCAGCCGUCACCUCUGGGCCAGCCGCGCAUACGCAGCCUUGCAAAGACACCUCCAGCCUGCACACAGCCUUCAUGGUUCUGCCUCUUUUCUAGCUCCUGGCAGCUCUCUCUGGUUGGACUUGCGUUUUCAGCUGCCCCCAAAGACACAAAUAUCUGAAAUUAAAUUACCGAAGUAGGGUAUCUUUGGCGACAUGGUCACGGGGCACUGCUUGCAGACUCUUUGUGGACGAUGUAGAGCGUGUCUGCGGGCUCCAGGGACAGAGAGUGGUUGCCCAGGGAGUGACCAAACAUGACCUGGGUUUUCUCUUUACCAUCUUUCGCAUCUUGAUUUUGUUUUGUUUUAGUAGCUCAGAAAAGGUCAUUUUAACACACAAGUUGGGGAAAUGAUUGCAAAAGAAGGGCUUUGGUAUUUGCAUGAGAGUAGAGAGGAGGUCCAACCAUAAAUCUUCAGAAGGACGAGCAAGUCGGCACCAGGGCCUGAACUGUCCAUGAGUCUUUCCCGAAUUGCAGCUGGCCACCACGUUGAAGACCUUAUCUUUUGGACUUGAAGCAAAGCAAGGGGUGGACCGUAUCAAAUCCCUCUUUUGCAUCACUGCCUGUCUUCUUGGCCCCACCCCUGAUUCCAGCCACAACUAUUUCAUGCAACUCUCUUAUAUAUGGACCAUGUAGGGAUGACCGUGUGGCUCAGUUUGUAAAGUGUCUGCCUUUGGCUCAGGUCAUGAGCCCAGACUCUGGGAUCGAAUCCCACAUCAAGCCCCACAUUGAGCCGCACACUGAGCCCCACCUUGGGCUCCCUGCUCAGCAGGGAGUCUGCUUCUCCCUCUACCCCUCCCCCUGCUUGUGCUCUCUCUCUCCCUCUCUCAAAUAAAUAAAAAUUUUUUAAAAAAUGUGAACCAUGUACCUGGCUUUCUUCCUGAAGUGUCUGUGACCACGGCUGAGACCCAUGAAUGGCCUAUUCGAAACUCACACACGCACAACCCAGAAGUGUCAGGGAGUCAAUGCUCUAUGGGACCCUCCCCAAUCAGUGGGGAAAGAGAACUAAUGGUAAAGUUUGUAUUUGUUUCAAACUCACUAGAAAGUUCUAGAUUGAUGAGCAGCUUCUAAUGUAUAAUAAUGGCCCAAUUCAUAGACAUAUUUCAGAUUUUCCAUCCCUUUUGUUUCUGUACAUGAUUUGGCCUGGAUAUUUCCAUCUGACUUAUCUUCCACGUUACUUAUUCUUUUCAGCUGUUAUCUGUUCUGCUUUUAAACCCAUAUAUUGAAAUCUUAAUCGUAGGUAUCCUAUAUUUUGGCUCUAUAAUAUCCAUUUAAAUAUUUACUACUAAGGUUUCCAGUUAUCUACUAAAAUUCUCCAUUUUGUCAUUUCCUUUGUGGAAUAUAUUCAUGGUUAUUUUCAUGUCAGUGUCUGAAAACUCCACCUGAAUCAUUAGGGGUUAGUUUCUUCUGUCUGUUUGUUCUUCUUGGUUUUGACCAUGUGAUCUUGUUUCCUCACACAACAGGUAGUAUGUGUUUGAACGCCAGAUAUUGGAUAUGAAAAACUGUAGAGAUAAGGUGAAGUUCUGGGUGACGUAUUUUCUUAU